CUCCCUCCUCCACCCGAUUGGGUAGCCCGAGCCGGGGCGAAGACACCGGCAUCAUCAAGAGGGGCAAGGAGUUCGUCGUAUAGCCAGUCUCAAGCCACGCAUAGUCGUCGACCACAACACAGCGAGGGAGGUGGAGAUGGCCUUUGUCUGGAUUUUUAGAUCCGGCCCCAACAAUAAGUGGGACAUCAGGCAGCUCGACAUGCCCAUGACCCCGACAAGGGGCUUGUUGAGUUCCACUGGCGGACAGAUGCCGUGUUCUCCUUUGAUGGGUUUAUCUGUUGGGUUGAUUACCACCGUGGUAUCCUGUUAUGCGAUGUUUGCAAUUCCGAUCCUGAGCUUCGUUUCCUCCGUUUUCCUGGCAUUGAGACUUGGAGGUGUGGUGACCGAGCACUUCCUACAAGAUACAGGACUGUGUCCAUCUGCAGAGGCCGUAUGAAGUUCGUGGAUGUGGACAAUGGCCGAUUUCGGUCCACCAAGCGUGAUGAAAAUGGGUCUACUGAGAGCAAUGACAUUAGGUCUACCGAGCGCGAUGACAAUGAGUACACUGAGAGCAAUGGCGAUGAGUGCAGCAUCAAUACCUGGACUCUGAAGAUGCCGCAAUAUGAGUGGGAGGUGGACUCUGUCCUCCAGCUCGGAGAGCUCUGGUCUCACCGGAAAUACCGAGAUUCACCUUUGCCGCGGACCGUGCCAACAUUUCCCAUUGUCAACAUGAUGGAGCCCAACAUUCUACACUUCAUAGUCAAGGGGCCUGGUUUUUAUGAUAAGGCUUGGAUGGUUACAAUUGAUACGAAGAAGAAAUCUCUUGGGCCAUAACAACUCUACGAGAAUCCAGUAAAGGAGGGGGACUGUACUUUCGACAUUAGCCAUGCAUAUCCUAACAGGCCCAUGAUCUCCAGUAAGAUUACCAAGUGCCUGAACAUUCCGGCAGGUUGUCAGUUUCAAUCAGAAACCAGUGUCGCACUUACCUACAGAGUAUUCUCUCUGUUCCAAAUUGUAGGUCAUUUUAUCUUUUUAGUGCAUAGUUUUUGCUAUGCACUUAGAUACAGUGUAUGUCUAGAUGCAUAAAUAUCUAUGAAUCUAGAAAAAUCAAAACGACAUACAAUUUGGAAUGGAGGGAGUAUUCUUCAAAUAGAAUUGUUCUUUUUGUCCA